rnacentral:rRNA from 1 species
GACGAACGCUGGCGGCGUGCUUAACACAUGCAAGUCGAACGGAAAGGCCUGCUUUCCCUUGUGGAUUGCGGGUACUCGAGUGGCGAACGGGUGAGUAACACGUGAGUGAUCUGCCCCCAACUUGGGUAUAAGCCUGGGAAACUGGGUCUAAUUCCCGAUAGGACUGCAGGGUGGUGCCUGUGGUGGAAAACGAUUUUCUAGUGGUUGGGGAUGAGCUCGCGGCCUAUCAGCUUGUUGGUGGGGUAAUGGCCUACCAAGGCGGCGACGGGUAGCCGGCCUGAGAGGGUGGACGGCCACAGUGGGACUGAGAUACGGCCCAGACUCCUACGGGAGGCAGCAGUGGGGAAUAUUGCACAAUGGGCGGAAGCCUGAUGCAGCGACGCCGCGUGGGGGAUGACGGCCUUCGGGUUGUAAACCCCUUUCGACCGCGAGGAAGCCACCUGGUUGGAAGGGUGGUGACGGUAGUGGUAGAAGAAGCACCGGCUAACUACGUG